UACGUAGGUGACGAGCGUUAUCCGGAAUUACUGGGCGUAAAGCGUGCGCAGGCGGCUUUGCAAGACAGAUGUGAAAUCCCCGGGCUUAACCUGGGAACUGCAUUUGUGACUGCAUGGCUGGAGUGCGGCAGAGGGGGAUGGAAUUCCGCGUGUAGCAGUGAAAUGCGCAGAUAUCAGGAGGAACACCGGUGGCGAAGGCGGAUCUCUGGGCCAUUACUGACGCUGAGGAGCGAAAGCGUGGGGAGCGAACAGG
rnacentral:rRNA from 1 species